rnacentral:rRNA from 1 species
UACGUAGGGGGCUAGCGUUGUCCGGAAUCAUUGGGCGUAAAGCGCGUGUAGGCGGUCCGGUAAGUCCGCUGUGAAAGUCGAGGGCUCAACCCUCGAAUGCCGGUGGAUAGUGUCGGGCUAGAGUACGGAAGAGGCGAGUGGAAUUCCUGGUGUAGCGGUGAAAUGCGCAGAUAUCAGGAGGAACACCAAUUGCGAGGCAGCUCGCUGGGACGUUACUGACGCUGAGACGCGAAAGCGUGGGGAGCAAACAGG